rnacentral:rRNA from 1 species
UACAGAGGUCUCGAGCGUUAGGCGGAAUCACUGGGCUUAAAGCGCGUGUAGGCGGAUCGUUAAGUACCUUGUGAAAUCCCACGGCUCAACCGUGGAACGGCUGGGCAUACUGGCGGUCUUGAGAGGCCUAGGGGCGAGCGGAACAGGCGGUGGAGCGGUGAAAUGCGUAGAUAUCGCCUGGAACGCCGACGGUGAAAACAGCUCGCUGGGGGCCUUCUGACGCUGAGACACGAAAGCCAGGGGAGCGGAACGGG